rnacentral:lncRNA from 1 species
AAAGAAGAAAGAGAGAACAGAUAUCGGAGGAGGCGAGAAGUGAUCAUGACAAAUGAAGUCGGCACCAUUUUUCACGUACACUAGUAGCCAUAAAUACAUACUACACAUCAACACAAUUAGAUUAGUUUGUAAAAACGAAAAAACAUAUAUGAAAACAAAAUCUUAAUGUGUCAAAACUAAUCCUUCAAAUGUUGGAGUAGCUGCAAAAUCUUCCUUUGUUGGCCAUAAAACUCAAGAUAGGUAUUUGCAUGUACCAUAACCUAAAAAUCACAAACAAAUAAAAGACAACCAUUAGUCAGUCUUUAAUAAAAAGAAAAACUGUUCCAACUUUGUUACAAGGAAAAACAUGUUGGAUUUAAAUAUUGUUAAAAGGGCAGCCCGAUACACUAAGUUCUCGUUAUACGCAAGGUCCGGGAAGGGCUGGACCACAAGGGUCUAUUGUUCUUACCCUGCAUUUCUACAAGAGGUUGUUUCGACACCUCGUAGUCGUGACCUCCGGAAAAACAUGGCAACAACUUUAUAAGUUACGCCAAGGUCCCUUUUCAUUUAACUCAUGUACAUUAAUAAUGAAAAUAAGCUCUACAGUAUUAAUAUAUUUUAGGAUAAAGGGCCAAAUAUACCUCUUUACUUUCGAAAAAUAUUUAAAUAUACCCUUCGUUAUACUAUGAGUCCAAAUAUACCCUUGCAGUUAUACUUUGGGUUCAAAUAUACCCCUCAUUUAAACGGAGGGAUACGUGUCAUCGUCCUAUUGGUCAAUUUUAAAUAUCUCAUAAUUAAUUAAAAAGACUCAUACCUAUAACCAUAUCCAUUACCCAUACCCGAAAAGCAAUUUUCUAAAGCGAUUUUUUGUAAAAACUGGAAAAAACUGAAAUUAUUUUUACUAAAAAUUGAAGGAUUCCGCCUCUGACUUUUCACGUUAAUGAUCCCACUUAUAAUGAAGGAUUACAUAUAAAAAUUAUUUUGAUUUGUUACCUAUAAAGAAUCUAGUAGGUGACCUAAUCAUAUAAAAUUAGUGUGAAGAAUUUGUACGUCAUGAAUAUAUCCUAACAUGUUAGAGUAAGUUACUUGCCUUACUAUUAUUUUUUACUAAUAUGAGUGGUCUGAUAAUGUGAAAAUUCUUACUUGGAUCAGCAAAGACGAUGACAGCAGAGCCCGAAAAAUCACAGUUGAAGUCGUUGCGGCCCUUACUUUGAUAGUAAGAAUUCAUGACAAAGGAAGCAUGAGAUCUAACAGUGUUGGGGUUAAAGCAAAGACCUCCAACUUGAACAGGGCGGCAGUCCACACCUUGAUUAGUGCAUAUCCAGUCUAAAUUGGCUUGUAAUUGUGCAUCUGUUGCCUCUGGCUUUGGCAUGCAAAAUUUCUUGCCUAGAACUGGUUUUGGAAUUGGCUGUGCAGGGAGUUUUAGCGCUGGCUUUCCUGGUCUUGGAACAUGAGGCUUUGCGGGGUGUCUUCGGCCUCUUGGCAAUGGCUGUGGUUGUGGCAAUGCUGGUUGUGGAAGAGGCUGUAUUCAUCAAAGUAACAAAACUUAUUAACAAAUUAGAGUUUAAGUUGUACGUAUCUUUCACACUAUCACUGUAUUUUAAGAUGUGAUAAUAGGUCAGGGGGUGGCAAACUUAUUCUUUGACAAUAUGUCAAGUUACCUUUGGUGGCAGUGGCAGUGGCAAUGGCUCUCCUUUCAUGA